UUAUCAAUUGUUUUAACGGCUUUUCUAUAACUGCCAAUUCUGGUUCCAAUUCUAAUCAAGAUUUUAAUUUACUGUUUUUAUUUUUAUUGAUUUCCAUAUCAACUCAUCGUUUAGUUGCAGAAGGCUGGAACUGGUUACUUUUUUAAACACAUAAAAUGGAUGCUAAGACAAGGUUACAAGGGAACUACAAAAAGUUAUCAAUCUGAUUGUACUAAUUUUUGGUGUUUGGUGUUACGACAAACAACAAUAUCGUAUUGUUAUUAACAACAAUUUGAACAUUGAGAAGCCAAUAAUAAAGUUAUUUAGGAACCAUUCGGCCUCAUUAACUUUUACACUUUUUUUGUAUGGGUAUGUAUGCUGAGAGAGUGCAUAUUAUUGAUAGUAUAUAUCAGGUAACAGACAAAUUAACUAUCAAUUGCUGAAUUAGCAUAAGGAUUACUCGUGAUGAAUUUAUAAUUAGCAGGUUAAAAUACAUCAACACAGUCAUUAAUGGAUCAUUCAAUCACAAGCAAGCAUCGACGGCAAUACUGAUGAGGAUGGUUUCAAGAGUUUACCUUUCCACCGUUUGGUCGAGUUGGAUCACUGGGUUAGGAGUAGAUC